rnacentral:rRNA from 1 species
UACGGAGGGAGCUAGCGUUGUUCGGAAUUACUGGGCGUAAAGCGCGCGUAGGCGGACAGUUAAGUCAGAGGUGAAAGCCCAGGGCUCAACCCUGGAAUUGCCUUUGAUACUGAUUGUCUUGAGUAUGGGAGAGGUAUGCGGAACUCCGAGUGUAGAGGUGAAGUUCGUAGAUAUUCGGAAGAACACCAGUGGCGAAGGCGGCAUACUGGCCCAUUACUGACGCUGAGGCUCGAAAGCGUGGGGAGCAAACAGG